UACGUAGGGGGCUAGCGUUGUCCGGAAUCAUUGGGCGUAAAGAGCGUGUAGGCGGCUCGGUAAGUCCGCUGUGAAAGUCCAGGGCUCAACCCUGGAAUGCCAGUGGAAACUGUCGAGCUAGAGUCCGGAAGAGGCGAGUGGAAUUCCUGGUGUAGCGGUGAAAUGCGCAGAUAUCAGGAGGAACACCAAUGGCGAAGGCAGCUCGCUGGGACGGUACUGACGCUGAGACGCGAAAGCGUGGGGAGCGAACAGG
rnacentral:rRNA from 1 species